rnacentral:lncRNA from 1 species
AAAAGCCCAUUUCCUUCGAUAUCAGUUGAUAAGAGCAUCCUUCCCAUUAGCACAGUUGAACAGCUUUUAAAAAAAAUUCAAAUAAAGAUUCUUUUUAUGGGACCCUUUUCCUGCCAAUAGGUUGUGAUAAAUAAGCCAGCUCCAAGUUCCGCGGUUUGUAUAAAUAUGAAUGACUAUGGUAACGUGUGAACGAGACAGAGAUGUACAAGGGUUUUAAACCAGAGUUUAACAAAAAGGCCCUGUCUGUCAAUGAAAUAAAGCUGUUUUGAAUUUGUUCCCAAUCAUUUGGCUCUUUUGCUGGGAGCCCGUGUUUGCUUGGUGGUGAUUAAUGCGAGGCGUGCGCGGCCUUCACCGAGCGCAGAAGGGGAAUGGCAACUCCAAAUGGCAUUCAUCAUACUCGCCAUCGGGCAGGUGCCGCACGCUGCCGAAGCGUCUCGAGUUUCCCCACCCCGGGGGGUGUGUGUGGAGCUACCUAGCUGCCAAGUUCAGCACAGUGAGCCCACCCUUCCCGGAGCAGGAUGUCACCCACGUGGCGGUUACGGCACUGUUUCUUUCCAAGGAGUUUAUCUGCUCUGCCCUUUGCUCAUCAAAAUGAGUCUGAAAUCUACCAAGCUGUGAAAUGGACAAAGAACGCUGGCGGGCAUGGCGGGCUGCGACAGAGGCAGACCGUACGAGCAGUCCCCCCAGCUCCUCUCUCUUGAGCGUCCCAUGCAUGAAAUGUUUUCUGAUGAUCAAGUGAGGCAGAAGACAGGACUCUGUAUUGGGGGGGUGGCGGAAGGUGGGAGAACAAGGCAGUGGGGGGCCACUGUUGCUAGGAUCACUAGGGAUGGUUCACAUCCUGCCUUUGCUGUCUAUUCCUGGGGGCUUGGGCAAAUGCGGGCACACUGUCCAUGCCUCGGUUUCCUCGUGUGCAUUGGUGGGGGAGGGGAGGAAGAUACUCAACCUCACUCCCAAGAUGGUUAUAGGUUUCCAGUGAGCUAAGCUCUGGGAAACACCUGGCAUCCUUCUGGCAUGCUUCGGUGGUUCAUAAAUGUCACUGGUUACUGUGGGUACUAUUUUUGCAAGGAUGACAGAGGCUUCACCCAGUGCUCUCGCCUCAGUCACCCUCAUCAGAUUCCAGGAACACUAAGGGUGAAUCUGUAUGGGGUUAAGGCAUCUUCCAUUCCCUGGGACGCUUGCUCUGGCAGCUUCUGGUGCUGGAGACUGACUGGGACCAGUGCGGAGGCAGGAAGAUCAAUUAGACAAUCUGGGGAUUCUGCUUUUGUGAGGUUCCUAUCUCAAAGCUAAUUAUCUAUGGGCUUACUGCAAGUCCUCUGCUGGGAGGGCAGGAAGUCCCGGGAGAGGACUCUGAGGAGGCUGGCUGCCUGGGGAAGGGAGGACUUUUCCUUUGCAGAUGGCUUCUAACACUAAGUCAGCAACACUUGCAUUCCAUUCAAGCAACAAAGUAUUUAUAAGCACUUUUGCAGAGAAUGUAACUGCCAAUCAGUUUACCUGCUAGCAGAGAAGACCAAGCAUAAAUAAACAAAAAAUAGACCACGUCUACAAAGAAGGAGGGGGACAGCGCAGGGGGAUGCCUGGCCAGAGACUUGACCAGGUAUGAGGGCAAGAAACUGAUGGACAGAAACGAAAGCCUGAUGGCAGCUAGUUCGAGAGAGGAGGAGAGGAAACAGGCAGAAAACUGAUCAUUCCUUCAAGGAGUUCCACUGUCGGGAACCACGGAAAUGGGCAUUUGCUGGAACGGUCCUUCAUGCAGAAGCACCACAAAGGAGGUGCUGACCGCCUAUCUGUGCUGCAGCCUUCGCCCAGACUCACAGCAUCCCCUGCAAUAAGCCUUCCCAGCUGCUUGUGGGCAGAGAGGCAAAAGCAUGACAGUAAAAUGACUGAGGAUUAAAGUAAAGGGAGGGGCACCUCUCCUGGCUCCAUCAGACUCAACAGGGACAAUUUAAGAGUUAGAAAGAUAGAAACAAGAGUGUUCUUUCAUUUGAUGUAACAAGUUCUUUCAUCAUGCACACAAAUGUACACACACACACCACGUACUUCUGAUGCCUCUCCCUUCUUUCCCUAGGUGACAGGGACAGCCUCUUCAAAUGACUGCCCUCUCCCAGACUGAU